rnacentral:rRNA from 1 species
CCUACGGGCGGCAGCAGUGGGGAAUAUUGCACAAUGGGGGAAACCCUGAUGCAGCGACGCCGCGUGAGUGAAGAAGUAUCUCGGUAUGUAAAGCCCUAUUAGCCGGGAAGAAAAUGACGGUACCUGAUUCAGAAGCCCCGGCUAACUACGUGCCAGCAGCCGCGGUUAUACGUAGGGGGCAAGCGUUAUCCGGAUUUACUGGGUGUAAAGGGAGCGUAGACGGGAGCACAAGUCUGGAGGGAAAGGCCGGGGGCUAACCCCGGAACUGCUUUGGAAACUGUGCAGCUGGAGUGCGGGAGAGGUAAGUGGAAUGCCUAGUGUAGCGGUGAAAUGCGUAGAUAUUACGAGGAACGCCAGUGGCGAAGGCAGCAUACUGGAGUGUAACUGACGUUGAGGCUCGAAAGCGUGGGGAGCAAACAGGAUUAGAUACCCCAGUAGUC